rnacentral:lncRNA from 1 species
AUGAGCUGCUGCCCCGCUCACCACUUGUCACCAUGGCCUCCAGCCAUGAACACUCCGGUUGACCCACCAUUUUCCUGUAAGCAGAAUUGGCCAGCCUCACUUUGUUGUUCGAGUCAGAUAUAACUGCUGGUAAGGCUUCAGACUCCAUCUCAUCUUCAACCUCCUCUGCUUUCCUCGGAAUUUGCACUGUGGAGAACAAGUUUGGGUCCUCAUUUAUGCAACCCACGCUGAUUCUAGAUCCAACUGGUCGAAUCGGCUGCGGUUUCAUGACAUUACUGAUGGUGGUGGGAGGUGUCUGCAAUUGCUGCAGCAGAUCUUUCUCUUCUGGGAUUUCAGCCACUUUGUUCAAAUCUAUUGUCUCCAUGC